rnacentral:rRNA from 1 species
UACCAGCACCCCGAGUGGUCGGGACGAUUAUUGGGGCCUAAAGCAUCCGUAACCGGUUCUGCAAGUCCCCCGUUAAAUCCACCUGCUUAACAGAUGGGCUGCGGAAGAUACUAUAGAGCUAGGAGGCGGGAGAGGCAAGCGGUACUCGAUGGGUAGGGGUAAAAUCCGUUGAUCCAUUGAAGACCACCAGUGGCGAAGGCGGCUUGCCAGAACGCGCCUCGACGGUGAGGGAUGAAAGCUGGGGGAGCAAACCGG